CCUGGAUCCUUUCCACAGGAACCCUGGCAAUCUGCGUGAAUUUCCUUUAUUUUGCAACACAGGGUUGAAUGGAGAAAUCCAGCUCAAACAGGAUGGAACAGUUCCAAAUGGAAACAAAUCAAAUUCAGAGAAGAACAUACUGAUGGGGACCAGAUAGACAUGCAUCCAACUUGUUCUUACUGGAUUAGAGCAAGUGGGCAGAAUCACGGCAGUUCAGGAGAAAGAAACCAAAUGAAGCCAGAAAACAUUUUCCAGAUGGAAAGAAAACACUGGACUUUGG